CGAAAAUGAGCGUGUAGACCUAAGGUCGCAGGCCAUUUUGCAUCUGGAAAACUAUUUCUCACCAAAUACAAAAAGAAGCAAUUAUGUUGUAUCCGAGCCUUCAGAGUUCGCAUAUCUCUUUCGCUCUCAACAAAAGUAUGAACCGCGUGCUAUUACGUGAUUUUGCAUUGCCGAAUUUUGGAUAAUAUAAUAAUUUGAUUCUUAUUGAUUUCAAGUAUUUAAUUAUUUCUGCUUAUAAUUGAGUAAACUGGAUCUCCAAAUUUAGUGCAAGAAAUUGUUUAUUUUGUGUUCAUAAUGGUUUAUCAUAGUGAAUUUCGAAUCUAAUCUUUUUUUGGAUGCAAAAUAAGAGAAAUAAAGUAUUGGAUAUGAACUUCUUUUUACCUUUUCCAAUAAUUCUUGAUUUAUUUAUUGCCUUCAGAAUCCAUAAUUAGAGGUGGAAAGAGGAAAGAAAAAUGGAAAUUACAUAUGUUUUCCGCUUUCUGAUUAUUCAAGACGUGCUUAGAUGAUUGUGGAUAUGGUUCUUGGUAUUAUUGUAAAAUGGGUCUCUUAUUUUACUUUCUUGUUAUAAAUUGUUGUAGGAAGGAUUAAGGAAUUGUGAUAAAGAAUCCUGUCAACUCCAACCGCAGGGUUCUAAUUGAUGAGUAUUGAUGUAUGCUUACAAAGAGUGUUGAGAGUUAUUUCGCUCUCGGAGUUAGCUGACAUUAUGAAUUUUUAUUGCUGGAAGACAUUUGACAGGCAGGGCAAUUGACUUGAAUUGCACAAAAUAAUAGCUCAACUUAACCGUCAACCAUAAGAAAUUUAUAAUCUCAAAAGAAAGAGAAUUUUAGUUGGAGUGAACUAUGAAGGAAGUUGAAAGGAGACACAAUCUUGCCAGAGCUGCAGAACUGAGAUAUGAGCUAUUUGAGUGGCUUGAAGCAAGUGCGACUGAGAAUGGAAUGCUUUCACAUAUUUUGGACUGUAUAAUGUUGUGGAAGUCACGGGUUUCUGUUUGGGAGGCUUGAAGCAAGUGCGUAUGAGAAUGGAAUGCUUACACAUUCUUUGGGCAAUAUCAUAUUUUGGAAGUCACGAGCUGUGGGAAUAGAAGCAUGAAUCUUGGCCAAAAUGAAAUUCAGAGAUUGAUUGCUCUUGCUUGACAGAAUCAAGCAGUGCUAGCUGUUGCUGAGGCUGUGUUGAGGUCGAGACUAUUGUUGGUAACAGAGAACUUGUUAAGGCUUUAGCUGAGCGACUAGUUGGUGAUUAUAAUCUGGUGAUAGAAAUGAAGGGUCUAUUCAUGGAGCAUCACUCCAUUGCCCAAUUGAGUGGAGCUCCUCCUUGGUAAGUUUUAUUGCAUUCACAUUUUAAUUCAGUUUUUCGUGAACUGUGAUGAAUGAUGAUGAAAGCUAAUUGGGGUGGCAAGUUAUAAUCUAAUCUUUUUCUGUGGUAAAAUUUUCAAAUUGUGCCCCAUCACUAGACUGUCUUUAUGAUUGUAGCUUGACACUAUUACAUGGAUAUACCCAUUGAUACUUACAUUCAGGGACACAGCCAUCAGUUACUUCAAAUUAGAAACACCCAUAUACAUAGAGAGUCUGCCAUAAAAUGUAAGUAGAAAUGGAUGUCAAAAAGAUUAUUAUUGUGAAUUGCCUGCAUUUUUAUCCUAUUUCUACCAUUGUACUUGUAAUUACGACAAACAUAACUUUCCCAUAGGCAAUAAUUGAGAGUAUGCAAGGUGGAGGAUGGUAACUCAACGAAUGGAUUGGGUGGUCGCAGGAGGUGGUGUUGCUGGUGGAUGUAGAUUUCAUUUCUGGCUUCGGCUUAUUUUAAACAAGGAUGAUUAUCUGAGUUAAGGACAUUGCGUUAAAAACUCGUUGUCAGAAGUAAUAGAUUUAGGCAAUCCUGAAGUGUAUAUUACAUUUAGUUGGGCACUUUUAUUAUUCUUAAAUAAGAUUCUCUUUCGGAGUAAAUAUAUAUAUGUUUACAAAACUAUACACACACAAUCCAUUAAGUUAGAAUGUAUGAAUUAUUUUUCCUUAUAUAGUUUGAAAUCAAUAUAGUAAAAUGGGGUUGUAUUGUUUUCCUAUUCUAAAUACGAUGUUACUUAUAUUUAUAUGAUUUAUUAUAGGGAAUAAAAUCAAUAAGUACAAUUAUAAUUUGGUAUGAGAGCACUUAGAUUUCGAUACAAGGGCUUCUAAAUUAGGGUUUCGAAUUUGUCCCUAAAUAAAAACUUUAAAUUCAAUUUCAUCAAGAACCAUGAUCCUAAUCAUACCUACAGUCGACUCUUUAUCUGUCAAUUCAAGACAUUUAGCGAUGACAAGACUUCUUUGGCAAAGUCCUCACCCCAAACUAGCAUUUCAACAAGAUCUAAGAGACUUUGCAACUUCUUUGACACGGUCUAGGAGGAUUUGCAACAUCAUGGUCUAAGCUACGUCAUUACUGCUUCAUGACCCCUACCGUGUCUGAAGCCCUUUCAUGUCACCAUUGACUUUCCAUUUCAACAACCCAAUAUCUGGAGACCCCUCUACUGUGCGUAACAAUCCUGAUGUGCUAGACCCUUUCUCUUGGUUGACUUGGUAGCCUUAGGUUGUUGUUCGGAGGGUGUUCUUGCUAAAGCCAUUGGUAAGUCUUCUACUACCUUUUCUUUGUGGUGGUUCUCAGGUGUUAAGCCUUAUAUUGCUUUUGUUUUGAGUCGAUAUUUUCAAUGAAGCACUAAUCACAUCGGAUAGUAGAUAGGAACAAGGCUAGGUUGGUUGUCACACAGAGGUGUGAGAUUGACUUUCAUGAGGCCUUUGUUUCGAUGUUCUUGUGAAAGACAUUGGUGUGUCUUCUACUGUCUUUUAUUCUUGGUGGUUCUUAGGUGUUAAGUCCUUUGUUUUAGGUGGAUAUUUUCAAUGGUACUAGUCACAUGGAACCAUAGAUGGGAACAAAACUAAAUUGGUUGCUAAAGGUUACACACAGACUUAUGAGAUUGACUUUCAUGAGGCCUUUGUUUCAGUGGCCAAGAUGAACACUGUUAGAGUCAUAUUAUCUUAACCAAUUAAUCUAGAGCAGCUAUUAAGGUAGUUUGAUAUUAAGAAUUCCUUCCCCUACUGUGAUUUGAUAGAAAAAAUGUAUAUGGAUUCACCCCCAACAUUUAC
rnacentral:lncRNA from 1 species